GUGUAAUGAUGAUGAAAGUUAUUUGACAAUGUCUUCUGAAGCAUGAAUAAUGCUGAGUGAUUGAACAAAUAUCCUCCUACUCAUUCUGA
rfam:Helianthus annuus linkage group 9, whole genome shotgun sequence.